ACAGAUCGCAGGCGUGCCCAGGUACCACGCUAUAUUCGGCCAGUGUCUAUGGCUACGCCACGGAGCAACCGCUCCUCACCGCCAUUGCCUGUGCGGUUUCUAACAGCUCCUCAUGAAGACCAAAUACCGCCAAUAGAAGAGGCACAAGCUCUUUCACCAGCAGUAGAGGUGGCUAGGGCGGAAGAGGAGGAGGUGGAUUUCGAGGAAGAGGUGCCUAGGGAGGAAGAGGAGGAGGUGCCUAUGGUGGAAUAUCGAGAUCAGGG